AGAGAGAGAGAGAAGAGAAAAAAAGAAAGAGAGAGAAAGCGAUAAAUAAACCUACAAGGCCGAAGACGCUUUCCGUUAGAGCUGUGAAAUGAGAUGAAACAGAUUCCGUUCCUGCUCUCUGACCGACUGUCAGUGAAGGACUUAUAUGUCGUCUUCAACAUCAUGUGUCAGGAAGAGGUGAAUAGGCGAAAUCUGCGUGAUAAAGGGAUAUGGCAGAGUCGCCCAAGAAAGAAAAAUAACAUCUGAGGCCCGAUAUACCUUAGGAUAUGGUGCAAAGAGACUUAGCAAUGUCCUCCAAAACUGUUCUCUGUGAAUUAAUUAAGGCAGGCACCACUGCCAUAAUUAAGCCACAAUAUCACAUAAUCUGGAAAGGUGUGAUGGAUAUGGUUCCACGGCGUCUACGAAACAAUAUAUUGAGGUUAUGCCAAACUUUUCUUGCCUAAUCACACAAAAGGAUCUAAUCUUUGUUAAUAUACUUAUUCAGAUAGCCAUUAUUGUUAACUUGUGGUAUACUGGUUACGGAAAACUACUUUCGCCAAAAGAUCAACAUGGGAAAUGUUGCUGGCCAAUCCUUAUUAAAAAAAGAAAAAAAGAAAAAAAGAAAAAGAAAAAAAAA